GUGAGAGAUGAAAGGUAACACCGUGGAAGUUUAUGUCUUUAACCCGAAUGGGAGUGUAAAACUGUGGGUGAUUAACAGAAAGUUUGGAACUGGAGCGUGGAACUGAGUGGGUUAAAAUCAUGAGCAAAAGAAACCUGCCUAACAAAUGAAGAAUGUAUUUCACAGGCUCAGAGAAUGUUACAGGAAAGAUUUGGUCACCAGAAGAUUCCUGGUAAACUGUUUGGCAUUGAAUCUCAGCACAAGUAUGUGCCUUAAUUAAUAUCAAUGAAAAAUACUUAAGCUUCCAUCCAAGACAUUUGCUAGAGCUAUUGAAGCGGACAGCUGUCCAUGGAGAGAAUAACUCUGUCCUCAUUGUGGGUCCCAGGGGUGUUGGAAAGACAAUGUGAUCAAUUCUUAUAGCCCACAUUACAGAAAUGCUGUCGCGUUCAGACUUGCUCUGGGAGUGAUCCAAGGAUAGAACAUCAGCUGCUGAACUGUGUCUUGAAUGAGCUACUGGAAGUAAAACAUGUGCAGGAGAAUGUUUUACAGGUUCAAUUAAAUGG